ACCUGGCUGGCUCAGUCAGUAGAGCAUGUGACUCUUGAUCUUGGGGUUGUGAGUUUGAGCCCCACGUUGGGCA
rnacentral:tRNA from 1 species